UAAUAGUUAGUUUAAAGGAACAAUACAAUUUGACUGUAGAGGAAGCAGUGUGAUUCUGUUACUAUUAA
rnacentral:tRNA from 1 species